GCCUGAUGGCAUUCUGAAUGGCCUUGAGAUAAUGAAGAUAAACAGCUCCAGUCCGGGAAUGGUUGUCCAGCCGUCUGGUCCGAAGAAGAAUAUUUUCAUCAUAUUGGGUCCUGUUCUUGGGGUGAUUGCUGUCGUGAUCAUUGCUGUGUUGUUUUUCAUGGCGCUAAGGAGAAGGAAGCUGGCGAAAAAGCAUCAUUCGAAGACUUGGAUGCCUUUCUCUAUUACCGGACUUUCUCACAGUGUGGGCAGCAAGUUCUCUAAUGGAACUACGAUCGCUUCUGGCCUGAAUGGGGGUCUUGGGUAUCGGUU
rnacentral:misc_RNA from 1 species